rnacentral:rRNA from 1 species
ACGGCCAUAUCACGUUGAAACAUUGAUUUCCGUACGGUCAGCGAAGUUAAGCAACAUAGAGCCUGGUCAGAACCUUGAUGGGUGACCGCUUGGGAAUACCAGGUUGUGCAA